AUAUUGACUGAGUCAUUGGGCUCUAAGGAGCAUGGUGGACGUGUACGUGGCAUGGAUGGUUUUGUCUCUCAAUCACUAUAUUUCAAGACAGUGAAAGGGAAAGAGAAAAUUGCAAGUUCUCAAGUUGUAGAAGAUGACUCAAAAAGCAAAAGUUACAAAAAGGGUCAUAAUCACUUGAGAUCGUCCAUCAGAAGUGUUAACAUAGAUCUCUAUGCCGAUGAGGAUUUGGGCAACACACCUAUGAACGAAGAAGUGAAGGAGGAGAUUGUAGUUUACCUAUUCCAGUGAAGGGCAAGAUAGAGACUUUAAAUCAAGCAUUAGAUAUCUUUGGGAUGAAUGUGAUUGUGGAAGCAAGUUUUUUGUUAUGACCAAGCAAAAAUAACAUCACAUAUCAAGGAUCGUGAUCUCCGAUCCAGAAAUUUUGCCAACCAGUUAGAAGCGGCUACCUUGGAACAAAUAGUUCUAAUUCCGUAUAAUACUGGUUUUCAUUGGAUGUUGCAUGUCAUCGAUCUUCGAGAGAACUGUGUUUAUGUUUUGGACUCUCUUCAAAGUAAAGUUAACGAAGACAUCCAUGGAGUCA